GUAAAUACUUUCUAGGGUUCCGCCUUAUUGGGUCUGGUCCGAGAGAAAGUGCAAAGAAUUUUUUCUUUGUCCACGGAGGGAUAAAAGCCCGGGAGAU
rnacentral:sRNA from 2 species